UACGUAGGGUGCAAGCGUUAAUCGGAAUUACUGGGCGUAAAGCGUGCGCAGGCGGUUGUGCAAGACCGAUGUGAAAUCCCCGGGCUUAACCUGGGAAUGGCAUUGGUGACUGCACGGCUAGAGUGUGUCAGAGGGGGGUAGAAUUCCACGUGUAGCAGUGAAAUGCGUAGAUAUCUGGAGGAACACCGGUGGCGAAGGCGGCAUCCCGGACCGGCAUUGACGCUGAGGCGCGAAAGCCAGGGGAGCGAACGGG
rnacentral:rRNA from 1 species